UUUGGGACAUCACUCUUGAACGCAAAGUAGAGGAAGGCUACUUCCAUUGAAAAACCUGGGAAGAUGCUUAUGAAUUAGCUAAAUAUGGUCUCUCUGGACUGUAUAAAUCAUCAAUGACUUGUAAAAGACACUUUUCCUCCUAACUUUUUUUUUUUUUUUGUGUCAAGCUUGGUGGUUCAAAUAUCAUACACAAGAUUAGGAAAGAACAGAGAAAUGUGAUAACAGCAUGUGGAAAAAAAUACAUGGUUCUCAAAUAACAGGUGGAAGUGGUUGUGACUCCCUGCAACAGUUGGAUAUUAAGCCUCUGGCAUAAGCAUAUCCAUGAGAAUUAGAUAAUUUCUGAAUUUUUCUCAAAAGAAGUGUUAUUGCUCUCUGGGAUGAAGAUGAUUGCUGUGGGUCUAUGGUGGAGAUAAAAUAGGAAACACAAAAACUGUACCUUUUGGCUAAAAUCUGGACAGGAAGGAAUGAAAUGAGCUAGCCAGUGCUUCAAAGAAACCACGUGUCACAGAAUCCCAGAGAUGAUGUCAUAUUAUAAAAUAUUGUCUAGACAACACUAAUGACCCCUUUAGACUACUCAGAAAGAGAUGGGUUGAGGAGUUUGAAGAGUGCUCAAGAUUCAUUCUUUUCUUGUUGACAUUCUGCUCCCACUUCUUAAGGGGUAUUUACAUUUAUUAUAUUUUAACUGCUAAAAGGCUAAAGACUGAAGCCUUUCUAACAGGAAUCUGCUGCCUGAUUUUAUGAUGAUCUAUCUUGUCUACAAUGCAGUGCAAGUUUAGAAGAAGCACCAGGAACUUUGGCUGUUUCACCCUGUCCUGCCUUUUGAGAUUGCAUUGAGUCCCUCAUGCAGGUAUAGAAAAGGUUAUGAGAAAAUAUGUCUUGAUAAUCCCACAAUGUUUUUGUGAACUACUUUGUCACGUUUUUGGGGAAAAUCCCUGAGAGGUCCUGCAGCAAAGAAUCACAAGCUACAGAGAAAGGACAAGCUAUCUUUGUUUCGGCAUGCUUGAACAUCAAGGCAAGAGAACUCAAGGCACUCGUGUUUGAGAUUGAGGUCCCUGGCUCAGUGCUCACCUGGAUUGGUUACUUGGUGCAGUACAUGGCAUUAUUAGAUAAUUAAUUGCAAAGAUUAAUUGUAAGAUUUUUAGUGAAGCUCUUAAUCUUCACAUAACCAGUGGAAAGAAAACAACAAACAACAUGAGCUCAGAAUGGAGGGAGAAGGAUCUGGAUGUUCCAUUCACAGUACAUAAUAUCCAA
rnacentral:lncRNA from 1 species